rnacentral:rRNA from 1 species
AGAGUUUGAUCCUGGCUCAGGAUAAACGCUGGCGGCGCACAUAAGACAUGCAAGUCGAACGAACUUAAUUGAGAGCUUGCUCUCAAAGCGGUUAGUGGCGGACUGGUGAGUAACACGUAAGCAACCUGCCUAUUAGAGGGGAAUAACAGCGAGAAAUCGUUGCUAAUACCGCAUAUGCUGCGAGUAUCGCAUGAUACAAGCAGGAAAGGAGCAAUCCGCUAAUAGAUGGGCUUGCGUCUGAUUAGUUAGUUGGUGGGGUAACGGCCUACCAAGACGAUGAUCAGUAGCCGGACUGAGAGGUUGAACGGCCACAUUGGGACUGAGAUACGGCCCAGACUCCUACGGGAGGCAGCAGUCGGGAAUAUUGCGCAAUGGAGGAAACUCUGACGCAGUGACGCCGCGUGCAGGAAGAAGGUUUUCGGAUUGUAAACUGCUUUUAACAGGAAAGAAAAAAAUGACGGUACCUGUUGAAUAAGCUCCGGCUAACUACGUGCCAGCAGCCGCGGUAAUACGUAGGGAGCGAGCGUUAUCCGGAUUUAUUGGGUGUAAAGCGUGUGUAGGCGGUUUUAUAAGUCUAGGGUCUAAGCCCGGAGCUCAACUCCGGUUCGCCUUGGAAACUGUAAAACUUGAGUUUGGUAGAGGUAAAUGGAAUUUCUAGUGUAGCGGUGAAAUGCGUAGAUAUUAGAAGGAACACCAGUGGCGAAGGCGAUUUACUGGGCCAACACUGACGCUGAGACACGAAAGCGUGGGUAGCAAAUAGGAUUAGAUACCCUAGUAGUCCACGCUGUAAACGAUGGAUACUAAGUGUCGGGCAACCGGUGCUGAAGUUAACACAUUAAGUAUCCCACCUGAGUAGUACGGUCGCAAGACUGAAACUCAAAGGAAUUGACGGGCACCCGCACAAGCGGUGGAGCAUGUGGUUUAAUUCGAAGCAACGCGAAAAACCUUACCAGGACUUGACAUCUCUUUGAAACCUUAUGGAAACACUAGGCCUCUUCUUCGGAAGACAAAGAUGACAGGUGGUGCAUGGUUGUCGUCAGCUCGUGUCGUGAGAUGUUCGGUUAAGUCCGAUAACGAGCGCAACCCUUAUCCUUAAUUGCUAACAUUAAGUUGAGAACCUUAAGGAAACUAUCGGUGACAAGCCGGAGGAAGGUGGGGAUGACGUCAAAUCAUCAUGCCCCUUACGUCCUGGGCUACAGACGUGCUACAAUGGCAGAUAUAAAGAGUCGCCAACUCGUGAGAGUGAGCUAAUCUCAAAAAGUCUGUCUCAAUUCGGAUUGGAGUCUGCAACUCGACUCCAUGAAGUUGGAAUCGCUAGUAAUCGUAAAUCAGAAUGUUACGGUGAAUACGUUCCCGGGUGUUGUACACACCGCUCGUCACGCCAUGGGAGUUGGUAAUACCCAAAGCUGUUAGCCUAACCAUUAUUUUAUGGAGGGAGACAUCUAAGGUAGGAUCAGCGACUGGGGUGAAGUCGAAACAAGGUAUCCCU